UUGAUGCACAUGCUGUCUUCUGACUUAUA
rnacentral:sRNA from 1 species